CACCUGUGGAAGGGAAGUUCACUAUGAGUUCGGUGAAUACGCCAGGUUUUAUAGUCGAUUGUUGAACGUAGUAAGCUCAGAGUUAAAUUCACAGGUAGCAUGGAUGCACUUACUGUCUUGCUCAACAGGUAGUCGGUUAAUCAAGUGAAGCAAGGAAAAACAACAACAAAUAGUGCCUUAAUUGUUUUAGAUUCAACAAUCUCAAAAAAUCUUUUCUUUGUUCAUCCUUUAACUCUUAUUCUUGGACACACCCAUGCUUUUUGUACUUAACCAUAGUUUUAAAAAAACCAAUCUCUCUACUAACAAAGAACAAUAAACAGACGCUGUAAGGGUUCAACAGCAAAUUGACCUUGCGCGAAAUACAAUUAAGCUAACACACCUACAAAUAUUUUUACCGGCCAUAAACGAACCCAAUAUUAUAUAUAGAAUGCGAUCUUUGAAUUCGCAAGGUUACGGAUUCUCUGAACUUCUUUACUCUAAUAGAACAUUGCUUGCUUUAUAGCUUUUGGUCUGCCUCUAAACAACGUUUGAGAUGUGUUUUGGUUCGGGUUCAAUCUAAUUCCAUUCUAAUUGUUGAGGAUUUUAAAAAUAAGACCGACAUCAUACUAGGGAAAUAACUAUUGUAUUUAAGUUUAGUAUAACUGUGUUGGGAGGUAUCUCUUGGUAUGCUAAAUAUAUAUUUAAAAACAUUAUUUAAGAAAUUGGAGAAAUUUACAUAUUUAUUUCAAACCGAAGCAGAGCGUUACAAAGUAGCAUAAAUACUAAAAUCUUUAAUUACACAAAAUGGCUUUAGACGGUAAGAAAAUACUACCGUCUACUAUAUAAAUUAUUAAAUUAUUAAUUAUAUAUUAAAUUAUAUCGAAUAUUAUUACAAAUAUACCAAAAUACAUAAAUCACAUUUAAAUCAAAUAGCAAUCAAUUAUACAAUAUAUUUUCUAAAAACAAAAAAAAAAAAUAUUUCAAUAAUUUGACAAGAUCUAUCAUGGCUGUGGCGAACGAAUCACGCAGCCAAUAUGUGCUUGCUACUGCUUCAUUUCUCUUCGAAAUUUCUAUUCAAUUUGCGCGGCUUCCAGAUUUAUUGAGUCGAUUUUUGACUUUCUUUGCGGUAAUCGAACAUUUAAGGGUGAUAGUCAUGCGAACUUCCUUUGAGCUGUAAUAUGUGCGAGUUGUAAUACAAUGUAUGAUAUCCUCAACCUUUUUCGGAUCCAAUUGACCCUUAGGCGGGCGUACACGAUCGUUUUCCAAAAAUGCUGGCGAAGGCUUACCACUAAGUGUAUUUGCGGCCAAGACCUCCUCUGAGAAAACUAAACAAAUCAGGGUGCGCGUGGCCGCGCAUGGAAUCAUAAAUGGAAUUGCUCGGAAUUUUUCGGUGGGUACUUUUGUACCAUUCGGACCAAUCACUGUGUAGCCAUCAUCGUCGCCACUUAGCGAAAUUGGCGCUUGUACAGACGUUGAAGCUCUACUACUGGAAGCUGCAUGAUCUGCGGACUGCGUACUUGUUGAGCUGUUGCUUUGGGCUGCGUUAGCUUCACUAUUCCCCUCACUCAACACGCGCUUACGUGAAUCACCGUUGAUCUUUCCGAUAGACCGUUGAGUGUUUUUUCCUUUAAUUUUCAUCGGUAUUGGCUCUGGCGAGAAGAGGGUAGCGAUAUCGGUUUGCUUACAAUGAAACUCGCGUGUACUAAUCACCCGCAUCAUAUUAUUUUUUAUUUCCAAAUCACUAAUUUCACUGAGCGCUUCCCAUACAUGCAGUUGACCCCACGUUUGCGCCACGGAUUCCCUUUUCCAGUGAAUAGUAAUGUUUUCAAGAGUAGGUAUUUUGGCACCCUGUUUCAACUUCUUCGCAAUCCGUUGCGCUAUUUUAUAUUUGGCUCUAAGCACCUCGUUAGUCGUCUGGCUGAGUUCGCUGAGAUCUAAAUUCUUAAAGUCUUCUAUCCAUUUUUUAACCAAUAGUGCGAGAUCUUCUGUAGUUUUCGCAUUCGAUAUCAUCUUAUUCUCAGCCAUUUGGAGCUGAACCUUUGAAAGAUGUUGUAUAAUAUUUUUUUGAUUCACCACUGCUUAUUAGUCGAUUGCUGAGUGGGGUGAGCUCAGUGUGUAAUUCAGGGGUAGAAUUUGUGCACUUGCGGUCGUGCUAUGCAGAAUGUCGCCUAUUCACCUCACGCGCUGUAAGCACAAGCAAAAUAGUGUAUUAAUUGUUUUGGCACCGACAGCCUUGGAGUGAAAAUUCGAAUUUUUUAGGGUAUUCUUUGAAAUGCCUACGAUGUCUGCCUUAAUCUAUGCGUAUUUUUGAGAUUACCCAAACAUGCUCUUAAGAAAGAACAAUAAUGGAUAUUUUAGUCGUUAGAUGUAUGAGUUUAGGGACUAAAGCGAUUAGACCUUGAGUGUAGUGGUUAAGCCUAUAAUUAUAUGUAGCUUUUUGCAGUCUUUGAAUUCGCAAGUUAAGUGAGUCUAAUAGUUCCAUGGGCCCAACAUUUUAGCUUAGAGCAGACAGUUAGAAUUAGGUACAUAAUAUGACUUCAGGAAAGUUUAAAUAUGCAAGCUUCUCUUGAAAUGCCACGCUCAGUAUAAUGCAACCCGGCUUUCUCUCAACAAUUUGUUCCAGCAAACAAAGAUCCAAAGAUAGUAGCGAAAAUGUUUUAACAAAAUUAUGAAAUUUAGUUAUAGCCACUAGGAGUUAAGUCUCGAAAAUUCCAAAAUUGUUUAAAAAAAAAAUAAAAAAAUUAUUUUUUUGCGCUGUGGAACCAUACAAUUGUUAUGUGCUAUUAAAUGUCAUUAACACAAUCGAAUAAUAUAAAACAUAACCGUGUUUCCCCUUGCCUUAUACCGCUUUCUAGGCACACACAUCCGUUAGAAUGCGCCGCCACAAGCACUUAAGCAUUUAACGUUAUCCCAUUAGACAUACACAUUGCCGUUACAAAACCGUUUAUAGUUUGUAGUAGUGCAUGCAUAUGUUUAACAAGCGUCAAAGCAUACUAACUGUCAGUUUGUUUGUAAGCCAACGUCAUUUGUUGCUGUGUUGCAAAUAAAAAACCCAACACAGUCCAUUAAAAUUUCUUUAGCUGCCACUGUGGAAGCUCUGCUGCGACGCACGACGAAGCCGCUUUCAUUUGAUUUCAUAUAAAACCAUAAACGGAUGGCAUAAAAGAAAUAAAUGUGUGUUCAUAUGUAUGAGUCGGAAUGCCAACACGAUUGCUUUUGUAGCGCGCUCUGUCGGAUAGAUAACCUACACUAUUAUAUAUAUUUAUGUACAAAUAAACGCUAAGUGAGUUCUGGCCGACUUUCGCACUGACAAUAUGUGCUAUAUGUGUAUAUAAUAUAUUUGUAUAUACAUUUAAAAUCCAUCAUGCCGUGGCAUUUAGCUAUUUAUUUGUGUUGUUGUUAUCAUUGCAAUUGCUGGCUUUCAUAUCAUUUCAAUCCAAAACUAAGCCCAACAUAAUGUCGGUUGCCUCGCUGACUUUGCGGUUGCGAGCCGCAGCUUCAACAGUUUGACAUUUAUGAACACAUGCCUCCGUUGUUGGGUGGUGAGAUCUCAUAGACGACCUCAUGCCUCUGGAGUAACGUCCGUGCAGGUGUAUGAGAGAUUUGUUUUCUAUGCUUGCAGAUUUGCUCUGUUAUGUGUACUCUUUUCUACUAAAUAUGAAAAGAGUUUUAUUUUGAAAGCUAUUCUUCUAUAUAAAAAUGCACUUGAAAGAUUUUUGCUUUAAAGCUCAUUUGGAUUUCUAUUAUAGGAAAGGUCUGAUUCUAACGAGUAAAUAUGGAUUUAAACCACGUUCUUGUGAGCUUAGAUCCUUUAUAAUCUAUUAGGGUUCUAAAUUAUAUUUUGAAUAUCAUCGGAUUUAUUUCAAAGCUACCUGCAACGGGUAUGUUUCAUUAGUCAUUUGAAGGCAACAACUAUUUUAUUGAUCCAAUAAAACUGAUCCUAAGUGGAGAGUAUAGCAUAUGUAUGAAAAUUGUUGGAUGACUAAAGUAUAAAAAUACUGCAUGAAAUUUCAAGGAUAAGGUAGCAGAGAAACAAUGGAACAUCUCUUGUGCGCUUGUUCUAUUUUGUCAAGGCAACGGCUCCAGCAUUUGGGAGCCUCACAGAACGAGAACCUGGAAAUCUUUAGUAUAACCAUAUAACUUGUGUAAAGCGCUGGCCUCGACUACUCCUCAUUGACUACGUGAUUGCACUCCAUCUGGUAUCCAAGGAACCAAAAUGAGUCUACGUGUGGCUUAUUGGCCUAGCAGACUAACCUAACCUAAUUAUAAAAAUCGAAAGCGACGAUUUCUAGGAAGAGAUUCCUUUAAAUUUCACAAGCAAAAAUCUACAAGAAAAUUUGUGGAAUGUCAACCGUCUUCAGGACUGUUAAGUGCAAUUUUUACAUAAAACCGUGAGAGUCUCAGAUAGAGAUUAUCGGAAAUGUGAAAGCGUUUCUCCAGCAUUGUAAAAAAUCAUAUUUAUUAGUUUAUUUUAAGGUUAGAAUCAGUUAAUCUUUGAUUGAAAAAAUGUCAACACUUCGGUCCAUUUUUGCUUUCUUAUUUUAAUGACAGCAAUUUCAUAUUUUUAUUAUUUUGGAAUUCUGUUUUAGCCAUGACUGAAUUCAAAAGAUUUUCCUAUGCAAUAACAAAUAUUAAAUUUAAAUGAAUAUUUAUGAAGAAAUCUACUCGUUUAAAGUAGAGUGUUACAAAAGCUCACAUUUUUGCUUAAAAAGAAUGCAUAUGUUGGUAAUUGUUGCGUUAUUUGUACAACAACAAAUGAAAUUUACUGUAACAUUUUUCGAUUCGUUGACCUUUAGUACUUAUUGUUAUUGUUCUUAGCUGUAUUAUUGGUUUUACAGUUUCAGUUGACUAUUUCAUUGUUUUCCAAGCCAUCUUCUACUUGUUAAAAAUUCGAAAUUUAUUUAGAUCAAGCACAUUUCUGUAAUAAUUGAGUUUAUAAUAAAUGUACUUUUUUACAAAUAUU